rnacentral:lncRNA from 1 species
CCCACCCGUCAGAGGCUGGUACAGUUCGUUACGUCCAGACCGGAAUGUACUUUGUGUUAGAAGUGGCCACAAGCCAGGACGGCAAAGCCGGGCUUUAUUUAUCCUCCCUGCUCCCGCCCCGCUGCUGCAUCCUGCCCUUACUCGUGUGGGGCUGGAUCUCCGGCAUGGCUGGGGGAGCCCUGGGCUCUGCCCACCUCUCUGCUGCUCAUUGCCAGCCAGGGAAGGCAGCGAUUUUCCCCGUUUCCUCAGAAGAUAAAUAAUCUGGGAAAAUACUUGUGUCCUUUCAUGUGGUAAAAGCCGUUCCCGGUGUCUGGAAGGAAGCGGCAUGAGCAAGAUGGGAACUCGGGGGUGGAUCUAGGCCCAUUGAAGCCUCUGGAGGGAGAUGCCCCUGUCUGCUGGCUUGGGGUGGGGGACGGUUUGCAACAUUUUUUGGGUCACAAUCUGGUAAUUUAUGGAUUGGAAAUGCACUUGGAAAGAUGCAGCUCUGGCCACACUGCAGGGUAGAGCAGGAUCAGUCCUGUGACAGAACAGAAACUUCUCUGGGGGUCCCCACAUGUGUGGGGGAUGCAUUGGCCCCUCUGCUGUUAAAGGGUCACGGUGGGAGCCAUGAGUCCAGGCAGAGAGGGGAAGGCUGUGGCAGCCCCGGGGGGGAUCAGAGGGAUUGCCCCAGCCUGGGUCUGGCCCAUCAUUCCACGACUCCAGCAUCCCUCCCAAGGGCCUUUCUGGGAGUUUCAUACAGAAAGCGCCUUCCCAGCAGCUCUACAUCCCGGGCUUCGAGCGUCCUCACGCCAAGCAAGUGCUCCUGCCCUCCUGCCCCAUCCCCCCAGGUCCCCACGUCCCCACGGCCCGUCUGUCCUGCUGGCAGUUCAGCUGCGCCUGCAGCCAGUGGCAAGGACACGGUGUUCUCCUGUACUCUGUUGUGCAAGCCCUGGCUGCACCUCCCGUAAACACAAAGCUUCCCACGACCAAGGCACCGGCUCCUGCCAUGCUGCACCCCCGGUGCCAGCGGCGAGCCUCGGAGGGGUGUGCACGCCUCGGGGUCAGGGAACGCUGCUCUCACCUCACUCGAGGUGCUUGGGAGCCAGCAGGGCAGGUUCCUUGGCUUUUCUCCCUGCUUCCAGACUUUCCCCAAGACUCCCUGUCCUUUUGGGGCUGGGCUCAGGGCUGGGGCAGGACAUGUGUGGCCAGCUGGAGGGCGAGGGGGAACAACCAGUACCCCUGGCAGGAGUCACAAAGCCAAACGGGAUUAUUUAUGGAACAGAUUUCCUCCAGGUUGUGUUACAGGGAUGGGGGUGAACAGGGCAGACCCCAGCAUUGGGCAAGUGGAGGGUUUAGGAUAUCUCCCCACCCAAAAAAGCAGAGUGAGCUGAGGGGUCUGGCAUAGCAGUGAUUUGGAAUAUGUCUUUUACUUCCUAAAAAAACAACUCUGAUGCUUUCUUCCCCUAUAUUUUUUUCUAUGCAAACAAAUAAAUUUACCAGUUUGUAGUACA